rnacentral:rRNA from 1 species
AGAGCGAACGCUGGCGGCAUGCUUAACACAUGCAAGUCGCACGAUCGGGGGUAACUCCGGUAGUGGCGGACGGGUGAGUAACGCGUAGGUAUCUAUCCUUGGGUGGGGACAACCACGGGAAACUGUGGCUAAUACCGCAUAACGACUGAGGUCCAAAGGCCGAAAGGUCGCCUGAGGAGGAGCCUGCGUCCGAUUAGCUUGUUGGUGGGGUAAUGGCCUACCAAGGCUGCGAUCGGUAGCUGGUCUGAGAGGAUGAUCAGCCACAUUGGGACUGAGACACGGCCCAAACUCCUACGGGAGGCAGCAGUGGGAAUAUUGGACAAUGGGCGAAAGCCUGAUCCAGCAAUGCCGCGUGUGUGAAGAAGGUCUUCGGAUUGUAAAGCACUUUCGACGGGACGAUGAUGACGGUACCCGUAGAAGAAGCCCGGCUAACUUCGUGCCAGCAGCCGC